GUAGGUUCUGAAAAAGAAGCUGGUACCAAGAAGCCAUUGAUUGAGGGAAACCUGUAUAAACGAGUAGAGUCAGCACUAGGAGAGAUGGGCUAUUAUCUAAUCUCUUACAUCUCAUUAAUUUGUUUUGACCAAUAAUCAAGAAAUCUUUCUACUUGCAGAGAAAGGUAAAAACUCACUGUUUGUGGCUCAUGACACUGGGGACUACAUGGACUUCAUCACACCUGGCCAGCCCUAUAACUUCUCCGCCUUCGUGGUGCUGCUGCCUGCCUCUCUCAGUGGCAUGGAAGUGGCAUCUGCGGACAUCCACCAUCAAUCCUCUGGUCUCAUGUAUGAAACGUGUGCGUUUUCAUGAGGUAAGUGUGCAGUUUCAUGUCUUAUAUUUGUGUUUGUGUUGGUUGUUGGCCCGGGAGGUGAGGACGUCCUCGUGUUUCUCUGGCUGCCAACAAUGCAGGUGUAACCCAGGAUUUAAAAAACACAAGUAAAACACAAUAUAUGUUGAUUUAAUGUCUUCUUUUACAAUAAGAGUUAAAAAGUAUCCAUUGAUCUUCCGCUUAUCCGGGGUCGGGUCAUGGGGUAGCAGCUUCAGAAGGGAGGCCCAGACUUCCCUCUCCAGUCUCUUCUUCCAGCUCCUCCGGAGGAAUCCCAAGGCGUUCCCAGGCCAGCAGAGAGACAUUGUCCCUCCAGCGUGUCCUGGGUCUUCCCCGGGGUCUCCUCCCGGUGGGACAUGCCCGGAACACUUCACCAGGGAGGCGUCCAGGAGGCAUCCUGACCAGAUGCCCGAGCCACCUCAACUGGCCCCUCUCGACAUGGAGGAGCAGCGGCUCUACUCUGAGUCCCUCCCAGAUGACUGAGCUUCUCUCUCUAAGGGAGAGCCCAGACACUCUGCGGAGAAAACCCAUUUCGGUGCGGUGGUCCCCAACCUUUUUAUUACCACGGACCGGUCAAGACUUGGCAAUUUUGCUGCGGCCCAGAGGGAGGAGGAGGGAGACCGUCAGAUAAUGCUUCUGCAUUUUGCCGUUCCAACUAAAGCCCUUUUUAUGCCCUGAUUUUUACUUUACGAUAAUCUUACAAUGUCUUGCAGUGUGAGGUGUGUUACUUGGUGGUGUUUUUGAAUAUGUCCAAUCUGUGGCUCUUUGGUAGAGUAGUCUUCUUGCAUUUGGAAGGUUGUAGGUUCGAUUCCAGUUUCCUCCUGCCACAUGUUGAUGUUCCUCUGGGCAAAGCACUUAAUCCCAAACUGCCUACCGUAUCGGUGUAUACAUAGAACGGACAUAUUUAAUUAUUUCUUGCGUGGCCCAGUACCAAUUGGUCCACGUGGACUGGUACCGUGGGCCCAUGGUGGCACAACUGGCGUAAAGUUGUGCUGUAGCUUUAAAAAAAAAUUCAGGUUUGAGUGUCUGAGUCCUUCCUGCUAAGUCAGAGUUAGCUUUCCGAUAGCGUUGAAUUCACUCCAUGAGAGACUGGCAUGUUCGACUAAUGAUUCCAAAUUGGUGCCUCAGUUAAACUUAAAGAAAUCAUCUCAUUAGUAAUUUUGUUGACAUUAAAUUAUUGAUCCUAAUUAUUAAUAAUCACACAAGCCAAAAAUUGGUGCGAUGCCUGAUUCCUAACAAUAGUUUGUUCUGCAGGUUAUUUGACCAAUUGACUAGACUAGAAAACUUAAUGUCUCAGUAAAACCUGCAACGUUUAUGGUGGCAGUCUUCUCCUGAUGUUUGGGAACAUCUGCCAGGUAAUCAGGAUAAGUCAGCCAGGUAGGCAAAUCAGUGGAAGAUAAAAGCCACCAAAAUCAAAUGUAGAUUUUAUUGAAACUAAAAGAUAGAACAAUAAAAAUCUGACCUGUAGUAACAAAUGUUUGCAUAUUUAAACAUUUAUCAACCAAAUCUAAAAAGAAUUUCAAUGCCGAGUUCUUCAGGGCCGAUGCCUCGACUCUUCCAGUUCAUUCUGCCUGAAAUGGUUGGUUCUCAUUUACACAAAGGUUCCUACAACAACAGCUUCACACCAGGUCUGAAAAAAGAAAAAAUAUUCAUAAAAUCCUAAAUUCAACGCAAUGGGUAUGUCAACAGGUGGGGUGGACCACCAGAGGGCGCCACUGAGGAAUGUCAUGAUGGAGGCUGCGUUCACGUUUGUUCUGGUUUUAAAAAUAAAAUCUGUUGUCUCUCAGUCCGAAUGUCUGUCCACAGGAAGUCAAGCAAAGGCAUCACCUCCGCUGAUUGGACAGCCUGCUGCGGAGGGGCGGGACUUUGGAUAGCACCCUGUGAGGGGGGGCUGUCAUGGUCAUCACACUCUUCCUGUUUGGAGAUAGACUUGUUGCCAUGGUGAUGGCAGGUAAGGUGGGGGACGGGAUCCCUGUAGAAGUCACCAAAACUGGAGGUGGGCUGGUGGUUGCCAUAGAAACAGGCUUGGCUAGGGAGGUCUGGAUGUCCGCCCGGCGAGCCAACGCAGCCCUCAGCUUCUCCCGCAUCUGAUCAAUCUGCUGCUGCAGCGCCGCCAAUUCUGCAGGAAGGGGCGUGGCCACCACCGGAAGGGGCGUAGCCGUAUCGGGAACGGGCGGGGUUGCAUCAGGAAGGGGUUGGGAUAUUAUUGGAAUGGGAGGAGUAACACCAGGAAGGGGCGGGGCAUUGGUCCUCACAGAGGAAGAGGAGGGCAGUGAGAGCACCAGACUGGCCAAUGAAGCUGCCGGUCCCCCAUUCUCACAUAGCCGGCUGCUUGGCCCCGCCCCUGGUUUCAUGGGUCCCGCCCUGUCACCCUUAGCCCCGCCCCCCUUCGCCUCUGAGACCGCCAGGCGGGCCAGCAGGCGCCGUGUGUUCAGGGUCUCCAGACUGAAGUGAACUCGCUUGAAGUCUCGAGCAUCUGCAGCAGCUGGAGUUUCCUUCCUGGACUCGUCGUCCCACCUGGCAGCGGGUACUGAGGGUCCCGGGGGUACCCAGGGACUCGCGGGGCCCUGCCCUGCCUGGGUCUUCUCCAGGUUACAGCUAAACAGAAACAGGCAGAUUUUAUUCUCUUCAUUUACUGAUCUAUAACAUUUUCUGCUCAGUUCAGAUUAAAACUGACACAAAAACAUGGAGAUAAAGUAAAAAGAACAACAAAAAAAUGAAACUAAAUACAAACUAAAAUAUAAAUAUAAAGUUCAACCAAAUAAGAAAGUCAAAAAUAUAAAGUCAGUUAUUAGUAUAAAAGGACAAAAUAUAUUAAUAUAGGUUCCAAAGAUAUGUGUUUGUUAAGCAGGCUUAAAAGUAUGCAGAUAAAUUUUAAAAUUCUUAAAAAUGUUUAUGAUUUUAUUCUGGGUCCCAUCAGAGCCAGAACCUUUUCUCCCUCUCGGCCCGCUGCCUCUUCACAUCGUCGUACGUCAGAUUCAACGCUCGGUGGAUCUUCUGUGGGAAAGAAAUCAGGAACUCAGUUCUCCGUUCAAGGAACAUGAAGUUCUUCUCUGAGGUGACAUCAUGACUCACCUGGGACGUGUGCAGCCAGUACUUCAGGUUCUGCCGGCGCCAUGCGGCAGGAUGAGUUGGUAAAACCCGUGUUCACCUGCGAGGGUCAGCAGAGCUCCGCCCACUCCGACGCACAGCAACACGAAGAGUCCAGAGAAGUGACUGAUGCCCAUCUGCAGAGUCUGACACAGACAGCAGUUUCCCAGUCAGCCUGCAGGGGGCGGUGUCAAGUCGGUAACCCCUAACCCUCACCAUGCAGUAGGACACUGAACGCACCAUGCAUGAGGGUCAACAAACGUGUUGAUCCCUACACAGGUAAACAAAAAUCUGUUUAUUUGGAUCCCCAUUAGCUGUCUCCAUGACAACAGCUACUCUUCCUUAUAGAUAAAUAGAUACUUUAUUCAUCCUCAGGGAAAUUGUAGUUCAGUCUCCCACACAGCACCAAUACAUCAAAUACUCAAACAAUUAACCCUAACCCUGCUCAGACUGACCUCGGUCACGGCGAACACUCGGUUCCCACAGGGAACCACCUUGUACCACUUGUCGUGCAGCAGGUCCAUGUAGCCGUCGGACUUGUACCUGCUGAUGAACUCGGACAGGUUGGAGCUCAGCGGAGAGUUCUGGGGGAGUCCGAUGCCAUAACCUGUCGGAGACAGACGGAAACGUUUGUUUCCAUGGUUAUUUUGAGACUUUGAAUGAACUGAUUACAGAACAUGAAUUGAAGAAACAGAUUCUUCAGUUCGUUUUCUUGGUUCAUUUAAGGUUGAAAAUGAAUGUGAAGGUAAACUUGAAAUUCAAUCGAUAUCUACAUCUUUUCCACCUGCCUCAAUUAUCUAUUCAUCACUACCAAUUAAACUUCCCUCUGUUAUUACAAAUCCUAUAGUGCUCUCUACACUUAAGAUCUGGUCACAAUUUAGGUCCCAUUUUAAAUUUAUGUCUCCCUCUAAUAAAAUGCCGUUUCCAAAUUAGACAUUGUGUUUCUUCGUUGUUCCCAAAUUUUCCAACUCUUCCUGUUGACCCACUAUGGGUCGACCUACUAGUUUUGAAACCCAAUCUGAAAUCACCAUUUCUAAUAUAUAUGGAAAGCUUAUGGGAAUUGAUCCCGACUCAUCGGGUAAAUCCAGAACUCUUUGGGAACGUGAAUUGGGUGUUGAACUGUCUGAUUCAUGGUGGGAUAAAGUUAUUCUCAGUAUACGCCAAAGCACUCCAUGUGCCAGGUUACAGCUUGUACAGUUUAAAGUGAUAAACAGAGUCCACUUCUCAAAAUCCCGUCUUUCUAAAGUUUUUCCUUCGAUUUUGGACCAGUGUGACCGGUGCCGGACCUCUCCCUGCAACUUAAGUCGUAUGUUUUUCUUUUGCCCGAGUUUACAAAAAUGUUGGGACUGUGUCUUUUCCACACUCUCAGGGGUUUUUGGAAUCCAGAAUUAAUCUGUCGUCCUGCAGGGGGAGCUCUAGGCUUUCUGUUCUCUGCUUGCCAGACGCUGCAUUUUACUCUGCUGGAAAUCUCCUAUACCUCCAUCUACUUCUCAAUGGCUUAAUACUGUUAGAUCAGGUUUAAGGAUAGAAAAGAUUCUAUUAACAGUAAAAGGUAAUUCAGCAAAAUUUACUCAAAAGUGGGCACCUCUUAUGACAUUCAUAAAAUCUCUGCCUUUAAAAUGUAUAGAUUGAUGUGACUGACCCAUCGUGUCGUGACUUAAAUUUACAGAAUAAUUUAGUGAAAUGUUGUUGCCUCUUAGCUUCUCAAUGCCGUCCAAACCUCCCUCCAAGCCACCCCUAUUUUUUAUUUAUUAUUUAUUUUAAUUAAUUUAUUUAUUUUUUGGUUGUUAAUGUAUUCUUUUUUUAUGUAAUUAUACUUAUUUGGUCUCGUUUUUGUUAUGUCAAUACAGGGAAUUAUGUUCGCUACGGGGAAAGGGAAGGGAAGAGGAAAAGAAGGGGGAAAGGAGAGAAGGAAGAAGGAAGGGAAAAAAAACUAAAAAAGAAAACAAAAAAUUAUGUAAGCUUUGUAAAACGUAUGUAAUAUCAAUAUAUGUAUGAUCUCCUGAUGAACAAAUAAAAGAUGCGCAGCAAAAAAAAAAGAAAA